ACGGAAGGGCACCACCAGGAGUGGAGCCUGCGGCUUAAUUUGACUCAACACGGGGAAACUCACCAGGUCCAGACACAAUAAGGAUUGACAGAUUGAGAGCUCUUUCUUGAUUUUGUGGGUGGUGGUGCAUGGCCGUUCUUAGUUGGUGGAGUGAUUUGUCAGCUUAAUUGCGAUAACGAACGAGACCUUAACCUCUAAAUAGGGCGAGCAGCCAGAGCUGCGGCGCGCUUCUUAGAGGGACUAUUGACAAGAAGUCAAUGGAAGUUUGAGGCAAUAACAGGUCUGUGAUGCCCUUAGACGUUCUGGGCCGCACGCGCGCUACACUGACGGAGCCAGCGAGUUGACCUUGGCCGAGAGGUCUGGGAAAUCUUGAGAAACUCCGUCGUGCUGGGGAUAGAGCGUUGUAAUUUUCGCUCUUGAACGAGGAAUUCCUAGUAAGCGCAAGUCAUCAGCUUGCGUUGAUUACGUCCCUGCCCUUUGUACACACCGCCCGUCGCUACUACCGAUUGAAUGGCUUAGUGAGAUUUCCGGACCCGGCCAUCUUGCGGCAACGCAAUAUGGACGGGGAAGCUGAUCAAACUUGGUCAUUUAGAGGAAG
rnacentral:rRNA from 1 species